GACGAACGCUGGCGGCGUGCUUAACACAUGCAAGUCGAACGGAAAGGCCCUGCUUGCAGGGUACUCGAGUGGCGAACGGGUGAGUAACACGUGGGUGAUCUGCCCUGCACUUCGGGAUAAGCCUGGGAAACUGGGUCUAAUACCGGAUAUGAUCUUCCAUGUAGUGUGGGGGGUGGAAAGAUUUAUCGGUGUGGGAUGAGCCCGCGGCCUAUCAGCUUGUUGGUGGGGUAAUGGCCUACCAAGGCGUCGACGGGUAGCCGGCCUGAGAGGGUGGACGGCCACAUUGGGACUGAGAUACGGCCCAGACUCCUACGGGAGGCAGCAGUGGGGAAUAUUGCACAAUGGGCGGAAGCCUGAUGCAGCGACGCCGCGUGGGGGAUGACGGCCUUCGGGUUGUAAACCUCUUUCGACAGGGACGAAGCUUCGGUGACGGUACCUGUAUAAGAAGCACCGGCUAACUACGUG
rnacentral:rRNA from 1 species